rnacentral:lncRNA from 1 species
CUGGAGCUUAUUAUCUUGACGACCAUUCACCAGUGUGUCUUUAAAUGGUCACGUAACACCAAGAGUGAUUACACAGAGCCGAAGGAAAAGAGAUGUUAUCAAACAGUUUUUCAAAUGAACUUUGUUUGAGAGCCAGGGCAUCUUUUUAAAGUGCACUUUCUAUUUGCUACCUGCAUGUUCAGGAAUGCUGUUAAACUCAUUUACCUUUUAUUUCAUUGAUCAAUUUAUUUGUACAGAAAGAGGACAGGAAAGCACUCACAGGGUGAUGUUUUGGAAUUUUUUCAAAUGUAACCCAGAGAUUUCUUUAAAGGAUUUUUUUUCAUAGUUUUUCAGGCUAAUUAUGAUUUUCAGGAAAUACAAGCAAGUAUUUACUUUUUUUUUUCUCUGCAGCCAUGGGAAGGCUGUUUUCAAAACCUGAUCCGGAACCAUGUAAUAUUAUUUUUGAAUAUUAAAUAAAUCUUUUAUCAAAAUACAAUUUUAUUGGAAAAAUUCUGACUAAAACUAAAAUUUGUUUCUCUUUCAGUGUUCAGUGAGCCAUGGCGGCAACUCAACUGGAGGUAAGUGCUCUCUAAUGUGCUAUUUUCCUUAAUCACUGGGUGUGUGAUUUACAAAGUACCAGUGGAUAUACAAAACCAAAUCCUGACAGCAAAGGGUUAAUUUUUUUGGGUUCAUUCUGAGUUAAGAUCUGUUUUUUUUUUUUUUUUUUGUUGUUGUUGUUUUAACUCUUUUGUUUAUUCCUUUGCUUUCUUUUUAUGUAUGUCUGUUUACUUUGGAAAACACUUUUUAAACCUUUUUGAAAGGUGCAGUAUAAAUUCAUUAAUUAUUAGUAUUAUUAAUAUUACCAUUAUAAUUACUAUAACUGUUAUUAUUAUCCCUGUAAUUACUCAGCUACCAACUAAAUACAAAAAUAAGCUAGCUCCAAGAAUUGAUUCAGAGAUGAUUUUGUUGGUCUAAAAAUGAUUCACUUAUACUCCUUCAGUUUUAAUGUUUGGUGCUAGUUCAUGCUCACUGCACACCUCUCUCUUUUCAUACUUGUGUCUCUGCUUUUAUGUUUUGUGCAAACACCUGCUUCCUCCCCCCUGCUGUCCUCUCCUCACACAUGGCUGCAUGACAGUUUUGUUAAACCAGUCUGUCCACCUUUUGCAAUAUCUUCUACUUCCAUGUGCACACAACUCUGCUGCACAUUUAUCUGAGCUGAUAAAAAGUGAAAAUGCUACGAAGAUUUUAAAAAGGAUAGGUCUGAGUUAAAGAUUUUUCUUUUUGCAAGAAGGAGCAGUCACAAACAGAGAUUCUGUAAGCAAGUGCUCAGAGGACUGUCCUCUAAAUUAUUUUUUUAGACACAGGGCGUGACAAGUUAACACGAGUCAAAUUGACAGCAUGCUCAUCCAUGAUAAGCUGCAUCUCUCAGGGUCAGAGCAGCAGAUAUCGACAGUAACAGUGUGUUGCACAGUAUACUUCUAUAAGAGCUGUUCUUAAAUUACCUUUGAUGACAUGAGUACAUGUACAAGGAUUGGAUAAGAAGAUAUUUGUACAGAGUCACCAUUUAUAGUUUCAACAAAGUAAAUGUUCAACAUCACAAUGCAAAGAAACUCUUUGCAGUCUGUUCAGCACAAUCCAAUAAGAGUAACCAAGCCCCAAUACAUCUGAAUGUCCAGCUGUGUGCACGACUUACAUAAAACACAUAAGAAUUGGAAAAGCACUCAGAGAGCGCAGACCUCCGCCAAGCAGCUCAUGUCCCCCCUUAUAUUGUGAUUCACACAGAAACUUUUACCAUUACGUGUCUUUUAUUAACUUUUAUUUGUGUUUAAACUGGUAUGUUCACUGUUCAUAAUGUUCCUAAAACAACAAAGCUCAUAUUAGAUACAUAAAUGCAUGAUUUAUUAUGCAAUAUUUGUAAGCGUACACUUCCUUGUAUCUUCAUUGGUUAUCUUUCGACGCCCUUAUUUUUGUGUGUUCUGGAUCACAGCAUCCGGAAUUUUGUCUGGAUCAGGAUCAACCUUUGACACUUCAUAAAACUCAUUGAGAUCCUUUUGUGUAAUUUUUUACUUAAGACUCUGGACAUUUUUAUAGAGUAAAAUGCAGAAAUUCCAAAAUUUGCCCGAUCUCACAAUGAUAAAGAAUCCUUCAAAAAAUUCCUGGAUCCAGAAGGCGAUCCGGAUCACCACCAAAAUUGGAAAUCCUCCUGGGGCUGAGACGCACCUCUGGUGAAAAUUUCAGGUCAAUCCGUCACUUUCUCCUUAAAGUUGCUAACAGACAAACAAACAAACAAACAAACAAACCAAUGCUACCAAAAACAUAACCUCCUUGGCGGAAGUAACUAAUGUGGGACUUUUAUGAGAUAGUCACAUGACAGUAUGUGUGUGCACUGACAUCUCUCCUGAUCCAUCCUUUCUCUCCCUCCAUAGUUUCACAUCCUGCACUGAAUGUGCAUCACUUAAUUAUGCAAAACUAAAAUAAUUUGUGGUUGUUAUCAUUUUAUGUCACACAUCUUUCCUCCUCUGAACAGAGACAGACGGGGCAUUCUGCUCUAUUUGAAGAACUACAACCCUAAGACCCCAGAACAAGUGAUCAGAAUUCUUCUUCAUGGGCCAACUGGAAGUGGAAAGUCCAGUUUCAUCAACUCUGUUAACAUUCUCUUACGUGAAAGACUGUGCACCAAGGCUUUAGCAAACCACAAAUCCAUCAAAAGUUUUACCAGCAAGGUAUGAUGACUUUUUGUUGGAACAUAAAGGAAAUGUCUCAAAUUUGUAAUGACAGUGACAGGUCUAUAAACUCCCAGUGCAUGCCUUUUGUCACAGUUAUCUUUACUUUUAUUACUUAAAGGGAUGGUUUAGUUGUUUCCAAGUGUGGUCAUUUUAGGUUCUCGUCAUUGGUCAGUGUAUUUGCCAAAGGGAUCCCAGUGACUUGGGCCCCCUUUGCUGAGAUACCAAACAGAGAACUACUGCAGGUGGGCUCAGCUCCACCAAGUGAUUUCAAUCAUUUUAAUCCCCAACCAAAGCACUGUUUUGGUGUCCACCAUAGGUGAGACAUCAAAUUCACCUCAAAAUAAAAGAUAAUGGAGGUAAAUGUGUUUACUUUAUUUAAUGGAUGCUGACAAAAAUAUCUAAAAGAAAUCCUGUAUGGGAAAAAAGAUGCAUUGGUUAUUGCAAUGGUUGUUAAAAUUGAACUGUGAUCAAAUCAUUAGGUUCCUAAAAUGGCUCACCCUAACCAAUAACACUCUCCUCCAUUUGUCUUUAAUAGUACAAAACCUUCAGGACCGACAAUGGGACCUCAGGAGAAUAUUACCCUUUUGUGUUCAAUGACAUCAUGGGCCUGGAAAACAUUGGAGGGGUCCAUCCAGAUGAUGUCAAACUGGCUCUGAAAGGACAUGUCAUGGAAAAUUACGAGGUACAUUUACUGCAAACUUUGCACAUUUUUCUUCCAAAAAGAUUUAUAUGCAUCAUUUAUUAAAUCAGAAUUCUGUCUUAGUUAACAUGUUUUUCACUGUAAUGUUCUUCAAAUGAUUUUAAAACUGUUUUCCAGUUCAAUCCUGAAUCCAAGUUGACUGAGGAGAAACCGUUCUUUGUCCAAAAUCCAUCUGAGAAUGACAAAGUGAAUGUUCUGGUUUGUGUUGUUGAUGCCAACAAAAUGUCCAUAAUACAUGAUGAAACUCUGAAAAAGUUUCGUGACAUCAGGGAGGAAGCCAGUCGCCUGGGUAAGAACAGAAAAGCUUUUCCAAUAUUUUUCUCAAGAGUUAGAUGAACUUUGCAAAAAAACACACAGUUUAAUCUUCGACAGAUCUUCAAACAGUUCCACUAGCUGAUUUUGAUUUAUGUAUCUGGAGAAGAACAGUGGCUUUUGAAAUGUUUUUUUUUCUCUCAAGGGAUUCAAAGUUUUGUGUUUGACAGACAUCCCUCAAGUGGCCAUCCUCACCCACAUUGAUGAGGUCUGUCCUGAAGUCAAGAAAGAUUUAAAAAACGUCUACAAGUCCAUCUUACUGAAGAAGAAGGUAUGCUUACUUGUUGAUUUCAUGGUUUUGUAAAGAAGGAAUCACACUUUAAAAAGUAGUCUACAACUAAGACACCAAUGGGCUCCUUCGCUCAGCACUGAUUUUUUCACACACUGCACUGCAGUCAAAUCAGGUGAUGCAAAAAUAAAGAAGAUUAAAAACUACAAUUUAUACAAAUAAAUCAAUAAUAAUGAAAAAAAUGUUUUUAUGUUUUAAAACCAAAGUUGAUGAAAUGCUUUGACAGAAAAACCCUUGCCCUCCCGAAGCAGAUCAUUCCACAGACCUUAGUGGGCACAAGUUCAUUUGAUCCAAGCCAGAUCUGAAUCUGUGUCCUCUAGUCAGGAUGACAGGAAGAGCUCAGUAUCAUCUGCAUAGCAGUGAUAUGAGAAUCCAUGAGUUUUGAUUAGUGCAUUUAGAUUUUGUAUGUAGAGAAAAGGAGGGGACCAAGAACUGACCCUUGAAGCAUCCCUGUUGUUGGGCACUGUGGUUUGGACUUCUCCUCUUUGUGAUACCCUAAAAGACCUAUUACGAGGCGUAUUACUAUUUUCAUGAAGUAGUCAAAGAGAUCAAGAGAUGUCUGAAGACAGCAAUGCCACACGAUGGCGACAGAAGGCAGCUCCUCAACAAGUGUCGCUGCACUGGGCGUCCUCCACACUCUCUCAUGUAAGCAAAGAUGGAUUUGGUGUGUGGAAUGUUGGAGCCACUAGUAAGACAAACAUCGCUUUCCAGAAAUAAAGACACUCACAUAAAGUUGCACAUAUUCAAACCUCACAAAGGUGGGUUGUGCACACAGAUCACAACAUAAAUUCCAAAAAUGGCAUUAAAAUCGGAACCAUCUGUGCGUAAUGACGCAUCCCGCUCCAUGGUCUGGCUCUUUCUUUCAUAGAUGUUGGCAUGUAAAAUAAAUUUGGCCCACAAAACUGAAUAUUAUAAUAUCCGUAUGUAGGCUUAAAGUACACAAUUCAUCUGAUUACUAAAAUAAAUCAUCCGCUCAGCAGCCGCUGCAGCAGCUGCAGCAGGACAGGGAGAGGACACGGAGACAUGUCCAGGUCGAGAAACAAGAGGAAGAGGAAGAAAGAAAAGGAGGGAGACGAAUUACAUAUCUAGUUAACUUCAUUAUGUGUGUCUAUUUACUAGAUAUUUAAUUUAAUUUAAUGCGGUUUCAGCUGUGUUGAUUCGGUCAGGUUGUGUGUCCAAACGCGUGCCAAACGCACUCAUCAGAUCAGAUAUAGAUCAGAAUGUAUAGAUCUAAAUGUAUGUGCUGACUCAGAUUAUUAGUUGUUGAUGAUUAUUUAUUGCACUGAAAUGUGCCUGACACUGUGGAAACCUGCCGGUGAGGCAUCAGUGACGUAUGCCAAUACGCCACCGGUCUACCAAAAUACUACUAGACCAGCGCCACCUGUGCUGAAAGCUGACCAGGAUUGAAUCGGCGAGCUUUCAGCGCACUUUAUACAACGGUGGCAAGCACAAAAAUGUCACUGCGCCAGCUGAUUCUGUUGACACCUCCCCCUGCCAUGCCACCACGCCCAGCUUGGCGGAUCUCGGUGCGCUUCAGUCCACAAAAAUACCAAACUGGCUGUACGCCGGGCUCCGCCAGACAAAAAUACCACUGCACAUGGUCCGCCGCCUCACCGGUGUACACGAAAAUAGAGCCCUCUGAUUGGCAGUGACUGUCCUGAUGAGACCAACCAAGAAACCAGAGACAUGUAGUUCAGAUCCAGUCUUUAUUUGAGACCAGUGUUUUUCUGUCAAAACAUGCAGCGGCACCGGACUAGUAUCAUUGAUACAGUGUUGAAUUGAAUAGAUGAAUGAAACAGCCAUCCUAAAUCAGGUCUCAUCACUUCUUGUUUUAAAGAAAGGUCACUGCUCUUCCUUCUUUAGAAUUCACUAUCAGCUGCUCAUAUUUUAAAUCUGUUUAACUAGAUGGAGGAGUUCAGUGAAAGGGUGGGGAUCCCGAUGUACUGCAUCUUCCCUGUGAAGAACUACCAUGAUGAGAUUGACAUCAACAAUGACAUUGAUGUUCUGCUCCUGAGUGCUCUGAAAAACAUCAUCCACUUUGGAGAAGACUUCCUUAACCCCUAACUGCAGUAUUCAGCUGUGUGAUCCAUGCUUUUGAAACCCACAGGGCUAAAUGUUAAAUAUAAUGACCAUGUAAGAUAAUAUUGAAUCAUUGUUUUCUGAAGUGACUCUGUGCUGUGGGCUAGAGUUGAGCUUUAUGUGAUCAGCUUAGCAAACUUUUUUUUCUGCUUUCAGUGAGUUUAUAGUUAUCUCCUGCUUCUGUGAUUUUAACUCUAUGAAUCUUUUUAAAAAGUGCAAAAUUUGAUUUCAAAUGUAUUCAAGACUUUGCAUUCACGAUAAGAAACAGGCCACUCUGUGCUGAAUUCUGUCUUACAUUUGUCUUUAUUUUUGGUGUCAAUGAGUAAAAUCUGAUUUUUUUAUGUUAUUGCACCGUGAGUUACAUGUUAAAACGUUUUCAAAAGAUGGUAAGAAUAUCUUUUUCUUAGGUUUGUAAUGACCUUCAUGAUCUCAGACUUGUUUCAGAAUAAAUAUAAAAAUAAGAACUUUAUUAUUCCCCAAAGGGAAAUUCAA